rnacentral:rRNA from 1 species
GGUAAAGCGAAUGAUUAGAGGCCUUGGGGUUGAAACAACCUUAACCUAUUCUCAAACUUUAAAUAUGUAAGAAGUCCUUGUUACUUAGUUGAACGUGGACAUUUGAAUGUAUCGUUACUAGUGGGCCAUUUUUGGUAAGCAGAACUGGCGAUGCGGGAUGAACCGAACGCGAGGUUAAGGUGCCGGAAUGUACGCUUAUCAGACACCACAAAAGGUGUUAGUUCAUCUAGACAGCAGGACGGUGGCCAUG